rnacentral:rRNA from 1 species
GCGGCGAACGGGUGAGUAACACGUGGGUGAUCUGCCUGGAAGCCUGGGACAACAGCUGGAAACGGCUGCUAAUACCGGAUGAAGUCUAUCAUUCGUUUGAUAGACCAAAGAAUUUCGCUUCCAGAUGAGCCCGCGGCCCAUUAGCUAGUUGGUGGGGUAAGGGCCUACCAAGGCGACGAUGGGUAGCCGGUCUGAGAGGAUGGUCGGCCACACUGGAACUGAGACACGGUCCAGACUCCUACGGGAGGCAGCAGUGGGGAAUUUUGCGCAAUGGGCGAAAGCCUGACGCAGCAACGCCGCGUGCGGGAUGAAGGCCCUCGGGUUGUAAACCGCUUUCAGCAGGGAUGAAUAUGACAGUACCUGCAGAAGAAGCCCCGGCUAAAUACGUGCCAGCAGCCGCGGUAAUACGUAUGGGGCGAGCGUUAUCCGGAUUUAUUGGGCGUAAAGCGCGUGUAGGCGGCUUGCUAAGUCAGAUGUGAAAACCGGGGGCUUAACCCGCGGCGUGCAUCUGAAACUGGCAGGCUUGAGUCUGGUAGAGGAAAGUGGAAUUCCUAGUGUAGCGGUGAAAUGCGCAGAUAUUAGGAGGAACACCAGUGGCGAAGGCGGCUUUCUGGGCCACGACUGACGCUGAGACGCGAAAGCUAGGGGAGCAAACAGGAUUAGAUACCCUGGUAGUCCUAGCCGUAAACGAUGGGCACUAGGUGUGGGGGAUCAUUGACAUCUUCCGUGCCGCAGCUAACGCAUUAAGUGCCCCGCCUGGGGAGUACGGCCGCAAGGCUA